UCCCUGGUGGUCCAAUGGCUAAGACUCUGUUCCCAAUGCAGGAGACCUGGGUUCAAUCCCUGGUCAGGGAA
rnacentral:tRNA from 1 species